UUGAAGAGUUUGAUCAUGGCUCAGAUUGAACGCUGGCGGCAGGCCUAACACAUGCAAGUCGAACGGUAACAGGAAGCAGCUUGCUGCUUCGCUGACGAGUGGCGGACGGGUGAGUAAUGUCUGGGAAACUGCCUGAUGGAGGGGGAUAACUACUGGAAACGGUGGCUAAUACCGCAUAACGUCGCAAGACCAAAGAGGGGGACCUUCGGGCCUCUUGCCAUCAGAUGUGCCCAGAUGGGAUUAGCUUGUUGGUGAGGUAACGGCUCACCAAGGCGACGAUCCCUAGCUGGUCUGAGAGGAUGACCAGCCACACUGGAACUGAGACACGGUCCAGACUCCUACGGGAGGCAGCAGUGGGGAAUAUUGCACAAUGGGCGCAAGCCUGAUGCAGCCAUGCCGCGUGUAUGAAGAAGGCCUUCGGGUUGUAAAGUACUUUCAGCGGGGAGGAAGGUGUUGUGGUUAAUAACCGCAGCAAUUGACGUUACCCGCAGAAGAAGCACCGGCUAACUCCGUGCCAGCAGCCGCGGUAAUACGGAGGGUGCAAGCGUUAAUCGGAAUUACUGGGCGUAAAGCGCACGCAGGCGGUCUGUCAAGUCGGAUGUGAAAUCCCCGGGCUCAACCUGGGAACUGCAUUCGAAACUGGCAGGCUUGAGUCUUGUAGAGGGGGGUAGAAUUCCAGGUGUAGCGGUGAAAUGCGUAGAGAUCUGGAGGAAUACCGGUGGCGAAGGCGGCCCCCUGGACAAAGACUGACGCUCAGGUGCGAAAGCGUGGGGAGCAAACAGGAUUAGAUACCCUGGUAGUCCACGCCGUAAACGAUGUCUACUUGGAGGUUGUGCCCUUGAGGCGUGGCUUCCGGAGCUAACGCGUUAAGUAGACCGCCUGGGGAGUACGGCCGCAAGGUUAAAACUCAAAUGAAUUGACGGGGGCCCGCACAAGCGGUGGAGCAUGUGGUUUAAUUCGAUGCAACGCGAAGAACCUUACCUGGUCUUGACAUCCACGGAAGUUUUCAGAGAUGAGAAUGUGCCUUCGGGAACCGUGAGACAGGUGCUGCAUGGCUGUCGUCAGCUCGUGUUGUGAAAUGUUGGGUUAAGUCCCGCAACGAGCGCAACCCUUAUCCUUUGUUGCCAGCGGUUAGGCCGGGAACUCAAAGGAGACUGCCAGUGAUAAACUGGAGGAAGGUGGGGAUGACGUCAAGUCAUCAUGGCCCUUACGACCAGGGCUACACACGUGCUACAAUGGCGCAUACAAAGAGAAGCGACCUCGCGAGAGCAAGCGGACCUCAUAAAGUGCGUCGUAGUCCGGAUUGGAGUCUGCAACUCGACUCCAUGAAGUCGGAAUCGCUAGUAAUCGUGGAUCAGAAUGCCACGGUGAAUACGUUCCCGGGCCUUGUACACACCGCCCGUCACACCAUGGGAGUGGGUUGCAAAAGAAGUAGGUAGCUUAACCUUCGGGAGGGCGCUUACCACUUUGUGAUUCAUGACUGGGGUGAAGUCGUAACAAGGUAACCGUAGGGGAACCUGCGGUUGGAUCACCUCCUU
rnacentral:rRNA from 1 species